UGAUUUUUUCUUUUGACUGGCACAGUUACGUUUGUCAACAAGGGGCUGCUUUGUGAAUAUACUGGUAUUUGGUGAAUUCGUUCAGUUUUCUUUUGAGCAACAUUAGCUCAAUUUCUAAAUUGACUAAUGGACAGUUGCAAAUAGAGCGCUGUUUUGCUUUCUCUUCCAAUCAUCAUGGCAGAAGUAAAGGAGAAGGGCAGGAAACCAAGUGAAGAAUCCACAGAUGAGUCUGAGGAGGAGGACAGUGUGGAGGAGCCUAAGCUGAAGUAUGAACGAUUGGCCAAUGGGGUGACUGAAAUUCUCCAAAAAGAUGCUGCCAGCUGUAUGACUGUCCAUGAUAAGUUCCUUGCGCUGGGCACUCACUUUGGGAAAGUUUUCCUUCUGGACAUCCAAGGCAAUGUGACUCAGAAGUUUGAAAUUAGUCCAGUGAGGAUCAACCAGAUCAGCCUAGAUGAGAGCGGAGAGCAUGUUGGGAUCUGCUCUGAGGACGGCAAGGUUCAAGUGUUUGGACUCUACACAAGGGAAGGCUUCCAUGAGAACUUUGACUGUCCUGUCAAAGUGGUGGCGUUACACCCUCGGUUCAGCAGUUCAAACUACAAACAAUUUGUCACUGGAGGCAACAAGCUUCUUCUGUAUGAGAGGAACUGGCUGAAACGCUGGAAGACGUCCACUCUGCACGAAGGGGAGGGCACCAUCACUAACGUCCGGUGGAGGGCCAAUCUCAUCGCCUGGGCCAACAAUGUGGGGGUGAAAAUCUAUGACAUCAGCACCAAACAACGAAUCACCAACGUCUUCCGGGAUAACGUCAGCCUGCGGCCGGAUAUGUACCCAUGCAGUCUGUGCUGGAAAGAUAACUCCACCCUCAUCAUCGGCUGGGGCUCCUCCGUUAAGAUCUGUGCCGUGAAGGAGAGGGACCACGCGGAGAUGAGAGACCUUCCUAGCCGUUAUGUGGAAAUUGUGUCUGCGUUUGAAACCGAGUUCUUCAUCAGUGGCCUGGCGCCUCUAGCAGACCAGCUGGUCAACCUGUACUUUGUGAAGGAAAACUCUGACCACGUGGUACUGUUUGGUUAGAUACUGUGUGAUGGAAUGGCUUAAGUGGUCACAGACAUGAUAUUUAAAUGUUGAUCUGGUCGACAUGUUUACGUGUGUGUGUGUAUUUGAUCAGGAGGAGGAGUUCAGAGCGCGGCCUCGUCUGGACAUCAUCCAGCCUCUCCCAGAGGGCUUUGAGGAGAUCUCAUCAGACGCCCUGACCGUCCGCAACUUCCAGGAGAACGAGUGUCGAGACUACCGGCUGGAACAUUCUGAGGGAGAAUCCCUUUUCUACAUCAUCAGCCCUAAAGACAUUGUGGUGGCCAAAGAGAGAGACCAGGAUGACCACAUUGACUGGCUGCUGGACAAGAAGAAGUAUGAGGAAGCUCUGAUGGCUGCUGAGAUCAGCUUCAAGAAUGUUAAACGCCAUGAAGUCCAGAAAAUUGGGAUGGCCUACAUAAAUCACCUGGUGGAGAAGGGUGACUACGACACCGCUGCCAGGAAGUGUCAGAAGGUGCUGGGGAAAAACAUGGAACUCUGGGAGAAUGAGGUGUACAGGUUUAAAACCAUUGGGCAGUUGAAGGCCAUCAGCCAAUACUUGCCCAGAGGGGACCUGCGUCUCAGACCUGCCAUAUAUGAGAUGAUCUUAAAUGAGUUUCUAAAGACGGACUAUGAGGGCUUUGCCACGUUGAUCCGCGAGUGGCCAGGAGAGCUCUACAAUAACAUGACCAUUGUUCAGGCAGUCGCCGACCACCUCAAGAAGGACCCCACGAACAGCACCCUGCUCACCACACUGGCUGAACUGUAUACAUAUGACCAGCGGUAUGACCGAGCCCUGGAGAUCUACUUGAGACUGAGGCAUAAAGAUGUUUACCAGCUGAUCCACAAACACAACCUCUUCUCCUCCAUAGAAGACAAGAUUGUGCUCCUCAUGGACUUUGAUAAAGAGUCUGUCUUUGGAGUGCUUUAAGCUGUGCAAAAGUCAUGGAAAACCUUUGCCUUGAGUCAUCGUGCCUCGCACACCUCUUAAUGCAUUUGGAUUGGAAGACAACAAAGGUCAUAAGUCACUUUGUGUUUAUCCCUGUCUGAAGAAUGGGUUUAUUUGUGUUGUCAGAAAGCUGUCGACAUGCUCCUGGAUAAUGAAGACAAAAUAUCGACCGACAGAGUAGUGGAGGAACUCCGGGACAGACCUGAGCUGCUACACAUUUACUUACACAAAUUGUUCAAGAGGGACCACCACAAGGGUCAGCGGUACCAUGAGAGACAAAUUGGCCUGUAUGCUGAGUAUGAUCGGCCCAACCUGCUGCCAUUCCUCAGGGACAGCAUCCACUGCCCACUAGAAAAGGCUCUGGAGAUUUGUCAGGAGAGAAACUUUGUGGAGGAGACUGUCUUCCUGCUCAGCAGGAUGGGGAACUGUAGACGGGCCCUUCAGAUGAUCAUGGAGGAACUGGAGGAUGUGGACAAGGCCAUAGAGUUUGCUAAGGAGCAGGAUGAUGCUGAGCUGUGGGAGGAUCUCAUCUCCUAUUCUAUUGAUAAGCCACCCUUCAUUACUGGUCUCCUUAAUAACAUUGGGACACAUGUGGAUCCCAUCUUGCUCAUCCACCGCAUAAAGGAGGGAAUGGAGAUUCCUAACCUCCGAGAUUCUCUAGUCAAGAUCCUACAUGACUACAACCUGCAGAUCUUGCUGCGGGAGGGCUGUGAGAAAAUCUUAGUGGCUGACUCCCUCUCCCUGCUCCAAAAGAUGCAUAGGACUCAGAUGAGAGGAGUCCGAGUGGAUGAAGAGAGCAUCUGUGAAUCCUGUCACGCGUCAAUAUUACCAUCAGAUAUGGCUCAGAACUUCAGUGUGGCUGUCUUCCACUGCAGACACAUGUUCCACAAGGAGUGUUUACCUUCUCCUGGAACAAUUCCUGGAGUCCAGUUUUGCAACAUCUGCAGUGCAAAGCGGAGAGGACCAGGAAGUGGGAUACUGGAGAUGAUAAAGUGACAGGAAAUGCUCACCUUAUCAUGCAAUCGCUUCGUCUUUUACCAGUUGGGAUGAAUGGCAGUCUCUGGGUUGAUAGAUUUUAUCUUUCUCCUUUGCUACGGUGUGAUCUUCUGAAUCAAUGCAUAAUAUAUCAUUAUAUUAACUGUUACCAAAAUAAAAUAAUAAAUGUUGCACUAUGACCUCUUAAUACACUUCUUGCAAUUUGCUUUGGAAUCCAAAUUCCAAAUAAAAGGCUAUUGAAAUCUCAA